rnacentral:rRNA from 1 species
AAUCUUAGACAAUGGGCGCAAGCCUGAUCUAGCCAUGCCGCGUGAGUGAUGAAGGCCUUAGGGUCGUAAAGCUCUUUCGCCAGGGAUGAUAAUGACAGUACCUGGUAAAGAAACCCCGGCUAACUCCGUGCCAGCAGCCGCGGUAAUACGGAGGGGUUAGCGUUGUUCGGAAUUACUGGGCGUAAAGCGCGCGUAGGCGGAUUAGUCAGUUAGAGGUGAAAUCCCAGGGCUCAACCCUGGAACUGCCUUUAAUACUGCUAGUCUUGAGUUCGAGAGAGGUGAGUGGAAUUCCGAGUGUAGAGGUGAAAUUCGUAGAUAUUCGGAGGAACACCAGUGGCGAAGGCGGCUCACUGGCUCGAUACUGACGCUGAGGUGCGAAAGUGUGGGGAGCAAACAGGAUUAGAUACCCUGGUAG